UACGUAGGGGGCUAGCGUUGUCCGGAAUCAUUGGGCGUAAAGCGCGUGUAGGCGGUCCGGUAAGUCCGCUGUGAAAGUCGGGGGCUCAACCCUCGGAUGCCGGUGGAUACUGUCGGGCUUGAGUACGGAAGAGGCGAGUGGAAUUCCUGGUGUAGCGGUGAAAUGCGCAGAUAUCGGGAGGAACACCAGUAGCGAAGGCGGCUCGCUGGGCCGUUCCUGACGCUGAGACGCGAAAGCUAGGGGAGCGAACAGG
rnacentral:rRNA from 1 species